rnacentral:lncRNA from 1 species
AAAUCAGCCAGUGCAUUUAGUGAAUCCCACACUCUGGGUUUCUUAUAUUGUAUUUUGAUCCUUUGGUUGAAUUUUGCCAUGAGUGAGCUUGUGGGUACCGGGGGUUGGGGGUUGUCAACCCUCUCACUUACAACAACUUAAAUAUCUGUGGACAGGACUUUCAAAGGCAAAUCACAGUGAUUUUAGGAAAGAAUUAACAUGGGUAAUUGGUCCAUGAUCAAAUGUUCGUAAUAAGAGUGUAAAUCUAACAUAUGAUUGCCUUAAUUUUUUCUUUAUUCAGUGUCACAUAUUGCAGGGGUGAUAUAGUUCAGCACUAGGGUAUGUGGGAUUCACUAAAUACGGUUAGGAGAAAUUUGGGGGUAAAUUGCACCUUAGCAUACCUUUGUUCUUUUCUGAGAACAGAAAACUGCUCUAAGAAAUGUGAAAUCAUUAUUUCAUGCUCAUUCCCAGUAUAAAUGCAUGGAAGGAACGAACGUCCUGCCUCCAAACUGUGUUAACUGAUUAUCUCUGGGUCGAUUCCUGUUUGGGGGCAAUUCCCCACUGUGCUGGUUGUAUGAACUGGCCUUGUACACUGAAGCUUCCACUGGAAACUUCAAAACUUGGGUAUGUAACACAGGACCUGGGGUGAAUUGAGGCCCAUGAGGCUUCUAACAGGCUAGGGUGUAAAAUUUAAGGAGGCACUCAUUCUCAAAGUCUUGGAAGGACCUAUUUGCAUUUGUGCAACCCUGAGGGUUUGUGCCUCCUUAAAUUUGGCUCCCUAGCCUCUUGACCCAGCCAUGCUUUGACACUGGCACCCUCUGCAAGCAGAUCAUCACAGUGUGGGUGGAGGUGAUGAUAGUGCAAUGAUGGGUGAUAGGGGUGGUGCUAGUGACAGCAGAAAGAGUGAUGGUGGUGGCCGUGGCUGUGGUGCUGCUGACUCCAUUGGUGUCAUCUUGUAUAUCAGGAGGACCUCGAUGCUGAAUUCCCCAAGAAAGACUCCCCGUUCUCCUGCCUUUGGAUUUCUAACUCCUUCAUAAUCCUUCCAGUACAUUACUUUCCUACUUAAGUGAACCAGUGUUGGUUUCUGUUGCUUGCAACCAAGAAAUCUGACUAAUAAUACAGUGGGAUUGUGAGCAAUUUUAUAUUUUGUUCUCCUCUACCCUUUUCUGUGUUUUCAUUUCUUAUGUGUUUAUAGUGAGUUUACUUUUUCAUGGAAGGCCAAGUAUUUUUAGCAACUUAUUCUGCUGUCAAGUAGACCAAAGUGUGUAGGGUAGGCUCCAGACUAAGUCCGUUUCACUGAUGUUGCUGUGACGACCUAGAUUCCUUCCAUCUCUGUACUGUUCCAUGAUUGAUGUUGUCUUUAUCCUUCAGGUUAGAGUAGUGUGGCUGUAGCAAUUCCAAGAAUUACAUACAGAAAUGACAAUGUCUAGAUGAAGAAGAGAAAGGGUCUCUUCUUAGGGUGCUUUCCUAGGAAUGAGGCACAGUUUUCUAGGAGCCCCACUAUCAAUUUCACUCUCAUUUUAUUUGUCCAAAUUGAGUCACAUGCCUAAAGAUGCAAGAGCAAUUUUCUCCUGAGACCAAUAAGACCCAUUCCCAGAACUGAAGUUAGUUUCCCCUAAGGCAUAUGACACUGUGAGGGCAAGAAAAGUAACUAAAUAAAAUUAGAAUUCUCUUAGGAAAGAAGAAAGUUUGAAUGAAGGCUCAAUGGUUAACUUGCAGUAACCACAAUUUAUUUUGGUUGCUUGCUGAAUGCUUUGUUCACAUUGGGGUGUGUGGCUACAGUCUGGGUAUUCAUGUAUAUUGUCCAUCGAUAGAUGAAUGGAGAAAUAAAAUGUGUUAUAUACGUACAGCAGAAUAUUCUUCAGCCUUAAAAAGAAGGGAAUUCUGAUACAUGCUAAAACAUGGGUGAACCUUGAAGAUACUUUGAAGUAAAAUAAGCUGGUCACCAAAAGAUAAAUCCUGUGUGAUUCCACUCCCAACGAGGUACUUAGUCAAAUUCACAGAGACAGCAAGUUGAAUGGUUGUUGCCAGGGGCUGGGGGAGGGGAAGUGGGGAGUUACUGUUUACUGGGCAUGGAGUUUCAAGUUUGGCAAGAUGAAAAAAGUUCUGUACAAUAGCGUGAAUGUACUUAGUGUCACCGAACUACACUUAAAAAUGGUUCAGAUGGUAAAGUUUGUGUUGUAUCUAUUUUACCACAAUUUAAAAAACUAUAAAUUAAAAAAAAAAAAUCCCACUGUGAGGGUUGAUUUAACAUAUGAACUUGGCUAUGUCACACCAGUUUUUGGUCAAACACCAGUCUAGAUGUUGCAGUGAGGAUAAUUUGAUCUGGGACUCACGGUUCAGCCGUUAACGAACCUGACUAGGAUCCAUGAGAAUUCGGGUUCGACCCCUGGCCUCACUCAGUGGGUUAAGGAUCCAGCGUUGCCCUGAGCUGUGGUGUAGGCCGGCAGCUAUAGCUCC